CCUACGGGGAGCUGCAGUGGGGAAUAUUGGACAAUGGGCGAAAGCCUGAUCCAGCCAUGCCGCGUGUGUGAAGAAGGCCUUCGGGUUGUAAAGCACUUUCAGUGGGGAAGAAAGCCUUGGGGCUAAUACCCUCGAGGAAGGACAUCACCCACAGAAGAAGCACCGGCUAACUCCGUGCCAGCAGCCGCGGUAAUACGGAGGGUGCGAGCGUUAAUCGGAAUUACUGGGCGUAAAGCGCGCGUAGGCGGUCUGAUAAGCCGGUUGUGAAAGCCCCGGGCUCAACCUGGGAACGGCAUCCGGAACUGUCAGGCUAGAGUGCAGGAGAGGAAGGUAGAAUUCCCGGUGUAGCGGUGAAAUGCGUAGAGAUCGGGAGGAAUACCAGUGGCGAAGGCGGCCUUCUGGACUGACACUGACGCUGAGGUGCGAAAGCGUGGGUAGCAAACAGGAUUAGAUACCCGUGUCGUC
rnacentral:rRNA from 1 species